CAUGCAGUCGAGCGGGGAAGGGUAGCUUGCUACCUGACCUAGCGGCGGACGGGUGAGUAAUGCUUAGGAAUCUGCCUAUUAGUGGGGGACAACAUCUCGAAAGGGAUGCUAAUACCGCAUACGUCCUACGGGAGAAAGCAGGGGAUCUUCGGACCUUGCGCUAAUAGAUGAGCCUAAGUCGGAUUAGCUAGUUGGUGGGGUAAAGGCCUACCAAGGCGACGAUCUGUAGCGGGUCUGAGAGGAUGAUCCGCCACACUGGGACUGAGACACGGCCCAGACUCCUACGGGAGGCAGCAGUGGGGAAUAUUGGACAAUGGGGGGAACCCUGAUCCAGCCAUGCCGCGUGUGUGAAGAAGGCCUUAUGGUUGUAAAGCACUUUAAGCGAGGAGGAGGCUACUUUAGUUAAUACCUAGAGAUAGUGGACGUUACUCGCAGAAUAAGCACCGGCUAACUCUGUGCCAGCAGCCGCGGUAAUACAGAGGGUGCAAGCGUUAAUCGGAUUUACUGGGCGUAAAGCGCGCGUAGGCGGCUAAUUAAGUCAAAUGUGAAAUCCCCGAGCUUAACUUGGGAAUUGCAUUCGAUACUGGUUAGCUAGAGUGUGGGAGAGGAUGGUAGAAUUCCAGGUGUAGCGGUGAAAUGCGUAGAGAUCUGGAGGAAUACCGAUGGCGAAGGCAGCCAUCUGGCCUAACACUGACGCUGAGGUGCGAAAGCAUGGGGAGCAAACAGGAUUAGAUACCCUGGUAGUCCAUGCCGUAAACGAUGUCUACUAGCCGUUGGGGCCUUUGAGGCUUUAGUGGCGCAGCUAACGCGAUAAGUAGACCGCCUGGGGAGUACGGUCGCAAGACUAAAACUCAAAUGAAUUGACGGGGGCCCGCACAAGCGGUGGAGCAUGUGGUUUAAUUCGAUGCAACGCGAGAACCUUACCUGGCCUUGACAUAGUAAGAACUUUCCAGAGAUGGAUGGUGCCUUCGGGAACUUACAUACAGGUGCUGCAUGGCUGUCGUCAGCUCGUGUCGUGAGAUGUUGGGUAAGUCCCGCACGAGCGCACCCUUUUCCUUAUUUGCAGCGAGUAUGUCGGGAACUUUAGAU
rnacentral:rRNA from 1 species